GGCCGGUUAGCUCAGUGGUUUGAGCGUGGUGCUGACAACGAUGACAACACCAAAGUCUCGGGUUCGAUUCCCGCUUGGUCU
rnacentral:tRNA from 1 species